GACGAACCGUGCGAACGUUAUUCGGAAUCACUGGGCUUAAAGCGCGUGUAGGCGGGGCGGCACGUCGGUCGCUGAAAGCCCCCCGGCUCAACCGGGGAACGGGCGCCGAUACGACCGCCCUCGAGGGACGUAGGGGGACCUGGAACUUCCGGUGGAGCGGUGAAAUGCGUUGAGAUCGGAAGGAACGCCCGUGGCGAAAGCGAGGUCCUGGACGUCUGCUGACGCUGAGACGCGCAAAGGCCAGGGAGAGGCGAACGGG
rnacentral:rRNA from 1 species